CAGCAUUGCCUUGACUGAUCAGGACUCCUCAGUGCACCUUCUCACUAUGAGGCUCCGUGCUCAGCUCCUGGGGCUGCUAAUGCUCUGGGUCCCUGGAUCCAGUGGGGACGUUGUGAUGACCCAGACUCCACUCUCCCUGCCCGUCACCCCUGGAGAGCCAGCCUCCAUCUCCUGCAGGUCUAGUCAGAGCCUCCUGCAUAGUAAUGGAAACACCUAUUUGCAUUGGUACCUGCAGAAGCCAGGCCAGUCUCCACAGCUUCUAAUCUAUAAAGUUUCCAACAGGGCCUCUGGGGUCCCAGACAGGUUCAGUGGCAGUGGGUCAGGGACAGAUUUCACACUGAAAAUCAGCCGUGUGGAGACGGAGGAUGUUGGAGUUUAUUACUGCAUGCAAGGUACAAAAAAUCCUCCCACAGUGCUACAGCCCUGAACACUAACCUCUCUGCUUGAAGUAGCCCAGCUGCUCACGCGCGUUGUUUGUCUGGGGAGGAGCACAGCAAGUUCUCUGAGUCUGUGCAUGAGGAAAAUGUUGGACAAC